rnacentral:rRNA from 1 species
AGUGAACGCUGGCGGUAGGCCUAACACAUGCAAGUCGAACGGCAGCACAGUAAGAGCUUGCUCUUACGGGUGGCGAGUGGCGGACGGGUGAGGAAUACAUCGGAAUCUACUUUUUCGUGGGGGAUAACGUAGGGAAACUUACGCUAAUACCGCAUACGACCUACGGGUGAAAGCAGUGGAUCUUCGGACCUUGCGCGAUUGAAUGAGCCGAUGUCGGAUUAGCUAGUUGGCGGGGUAAAGGCCCACCAAGGCGACGAUCCGUAGCUGGUCUGAGAGGAUGAUCAGCCACACUGGAACUGAGACACGGUCCAGACUCCUACGGGAGGCAGCAGUGGGGAAUAUUGGACAAUGGGCGCAAGCCUGAUCCAGCCAUACCGCGUAGGUGAAGAAGGCCUUCGGGUUGUAAAGCCCUUUUGUUGGGAAAGAAAAGCAGCAGGUUAAUACCCCGCUGUUCUGACGGUACCCAAAGAAUAAGCACCGGCUAACUUCGUG